AAAAAAAAAAAAAAAUGUCGCUCUCUUCUCUCGUUCAGUCGACGGAACCCUAAUUUCAUCGCCGUUCUCUACUUAUCUCGUCUCUUUCGGCCGAAACUCUUUCGGUGGUGUCGAAUUUCAAGUCAUCAAAAAUCAAAACCCAAAUCAAAGAGAUCUGUGGAAUUUUAUAUGAUUUGUUACAGGUUUUAGUUGAAUCAAGAAUAACUACUCUUUUACUUUGAUUUAAUAUGUCUAUCGUUUAGUUUUCCUCUCAAUCGAUCUAUUUAGAGAUAUUUCUACUUCUAUCAAUGUUUUGAUUCAUAUGGUUUCGUCUUCCUCCUAUGUAUCCCUCAAACAGAUUAUUACGUUUUUUAAUUUGAUUGUUGUUAUUUGGCCAAUAAAUUUCAUAUUGUCUUCCCCAGAAAAAUGUUGCUUUCCGAUCUGUAUUAUAAAUCAGCCGUAAAGUGAUGUAACUCAGCCUUAACGUGAUGUAACUCAGCCGUAACAUAUAAUUUAUACAACCUUUCGUCUUCCCUAAAUGAUAACUCAGCCGUGACAUGUAAUUUACCGAACCUUUCGUCUUCCCUGAAGCAUAUAACUCAGCCGUAACAUAUAAUUUACACUCAUCUUUCGUUUGCCCUUGAACAUAUAACUCAGCCGUGACAUGUAAAUUUAUAGAUGUCUUCCCUUAAACAUAUAACUCAGUCGUAAUGUAAUUUUACCGAACCUUUCGUCUUCCCUGGAACAUAUAACUCAGCCGCGACAUGUAAAUUGACUGAACGUUUCGUUCUUCCUUAAGCAUAUAACUCAACCGUAAUGUAAUUUUAUCGAACCUUUCGUCUUUCCUGGAACGUAUAACUCAGUCGUGACAAGUAAAUUGACUAAACCUUUCGUCUUCCCUUAAGCAUAUAACUCAGCCGUGACAUGUAAAUUUGUCGUGAAACAAUAAGAGAUACAACAUUUCGUCUAACUUUAUCAUCGAGCACCAACUUCACAAAUUUGUCGUGCGUUGUUUUCGCAUCUAUCUGCACAAGUUUACACCCUCUUUCAUCAGUGUUAAAUAUGUAUUUGUGUUUCUAUACCCAAUUCCUGGAAACAACAAUUACCAAAACUAGAUCAACCAUAUCGGGAGAAAGAUGAAAGAAAUUGAAGAAAAAUGAGGAAAAUGAUGAGGAAUUAGAAGUUCCGGUGAUGUGAAAAAUUCAAGUGAAGAAGACGAGUUGAAAAAAUUUUACCCUAUUUUUUUAUCCUUUGAUGAUGCUGACAUGGAAUGAUGACAUGAAAUAUUACAGCCGACGUCGUUUUGAAUUGAUGAGGUAGCAACUAAGCCACCAAACGAACAUUUGAUAACUCAGCCAUCAAGCAAAUCUAUAAGUCAGUCGCAACAUGAAUACUAUUACAGUAAUUAAAAAAGGAAAAAAAAAUAAAGUUAAGUCAGCCGUGUAAUGUCGUAACUCAACUAACUCAACCGUAACGUUCAACAACUCGGCCAUAACUGCAUGAUAUUAUAGUAAUUAAUCUUUUAAAAAUAAGUCAGCCAUAACAUGGCUGAGUUAUAUCGUAAUCCAGCUAUUGGCGGCUGAUUUAUAUCACUCGACUAUAACUCAGCCGUCACAUCUUUCCAUAACUAAGCUAAUCAAAACUAUAACUCGGCCGCGUCGAGGAAAUAAGUCAGCCUUUUUCUCAUAACUCAGCCAUAUUGUUGGCUGGGUUAUCGUAUAACUUCUUAUAACUCGGCCGAACAUCCUUAACUCAAGCAUACUGUUGCCUGAGUUAUAGUAUAACUCAGGCAACAUUUUUCAACUCAGCCGUAACGUCUGGCUGAGUUAUACUCAUACUUCGCCGUUUUGUUAUGACUCAUAUAUUUUUGACGUAAGUCAGCCGCAACAUACCGUAACUCAGCCGGCUGAGUUCAUUUAAUCCACGUCAGCAAGUUCUGACGUGGCAGUGGCAUUCCCUGUAAUUAUGUUUUUUUCGGUAACGUUUAGUAGGGGCACGCUGGGUAAUAAAAAAACUCGAAAAUAUAACAGUAAUUAAAAAAAGUUCUGUCGUGUUCUGGUAAUAACACCUAAUUUCUUACCCACAGUUAAUCUCCCU
rnacentral:sRNA from 1 species